rnacentral:rRNA from 1 species
UACGGGGGGGGCAAGCGUUGUUCGGAAUCACUGGGCGUAAAGCGCACGUAGGCGGGUCCUUAAGUCGGGGGUGAAAUCCUGGAGCUCAACUCCAGAACUGCCUUCGAUACUGGGGAUCUCGAGUCCGGGAGAGGUGAGUGGAACUCCGAGUGUAGAGGUGAAAUUCGUAGAUAUUCGGAAGAACACCAGUGGCGAAGGCGGCUCACUGGCCCGGUACUGACGCUGAGGUGCGAAAGCGUGGGGAGCAAACAGG